UAGGGGAGCCGAAGGGAAACCGAGUCUUAACUGGGCGUUAAGUUGCAGGGUAUAGACCCGAAACCCGGUGAUCUAGCCAUGGGCAGGUUGAAGGUUGGGUAACACUAACUGGAGGACCGAACCGACUAAUGUUGAAAAAUUAGCGGAUGACUUGUGGCUGGGGGUGAAAGGCCAAUCAAACCGGGAGAUAGCUGGUUCUCCCCGAAAGCUAUUUAGGUAGCGCCUCGUGAAUUCAUCUCCGGGGGUAGAGCACUGUUUCGGCAAGGGGGUCAUCCCGACUUACCAACCCGAUGCAAACUGCGAAUACCGGAGAAUGUUAUCACGGGAGACACACGGCGGGUGCUAACGUCCGUCGUGAAGAGGGAAACAACCCAGACCGCCAGCUAAGGUCCCAAAGUCAUGGUUAAGUGGGAAACGAUGUGGGAAGGCCCAGACAGCCAGGAUGUUGGCUUAGAAGCAGCCAUCAUUUAAAGAAAGCGUAAUAGCUCACUGGUCGAGUCGGCCUGCGCGGAAGAUGUAACGGGGCUAAACCAUGCACCGAAGCUGCGGCAGCGACACUGUGUGUUGUUG
rnacentral:rRNA from 1 species